UUCUCUUGCAGCCUUUUAGUGUGCUGAUCAGGCGAGCUUAGAGAUGGGGGAACAGGGAAAAAAAAACCAGAAAGGAAAGAGAACGAGAAGCCCAGGGCUCCAAAGCAGCUGAGGUGUCAAAGACAAAGAUUUAAUGAAUGUGCCUGCGGUUCACCUGAACAGAUGAGCACAAGCUAGAAGGAAAGAACGAAGUAAAUGGAAAAAAGAAAGGAUCAUUUUUCAGAUUGGCAGCUCCCCUCGCAGACAUCUUUUAACAAGAAAAAAAAAGGACUCCCAGCCUCGCUUUUAAAGGGCCAGCAUCGUUAUUCUGCUUUGUGGCGGCAGACGUCUAGAGGAAGCUAUUUAAUAAAACUAUAUUUAAUGCAAAAGGUUCCAAGCCAGCAGUCGCCUUCCUUUUUUCCUGCUCAUAAUUCCAGCUGAGGCUACACAAUGCAACUCAGGGAAGAGAGCAAAAGCAGCCAGAACCAUCCUCAGAAAUGCCUUGGUUUUGAGGGCAGUGAGACAUCCAGGCACUGUAAGGUGAAUGCUGAUGUUCCCGAAGGCGCCCAGAGCCAGGCCCAUCGCUCCGGUCCAAUCCAGGAUGCUGAGGUCCCAGUUACCUCCCCCCGUUUACUUACCCCCGCGACAACCUCAGCCACCGUAACCUGGAGGCAUGGGAUGAGAUAUAAUUUGGUCUGCGAGCAAGUUUGUUUGUGGGCCUUUCCUGAGCAAAGGCUGCCAAUUAUAUUCAAUGUGCUGAACUCUGUCAGAUUAGGUGCUUGUCAUGGAAAAGAGGAGGGUGCUUUUUUUCCCCCUUUUCUAUUUUAAUAGCAUUUCAGAGGGACCCUACAGACGCAUUUUGGGGGAUGGUGGUGAAUGCUGCUUGCAGGCAUCCUUCAUGUUUCUCUCCUUUCCCAUGCAACCUCCCCCAGACCCUCAUCCCCUCACAGAUCUCAUGCAUGACAUGCAUGCAGCUAUUCUGAACGCGUGACUGAUACAUGUGCACACCAUUGUUCUUUAUGGAACACAGUCAGUGCCACUCGACUCCUUGUCCUAAACCAGUCAUUCCCAGCCAGGUUCCUGUGGCACCCUGGUGUUCAGUGAGAGCCUUUUCAAUGUGCUGCGGGGCGCUGCGCAAUAUAGGCACUGUUAGGUGUGCAAAUACCAACACAUGAUUCACAAGAUAAACCCAGAGAUUUCAAAUAGGACUCCACUGUGUGAAAAGCAUCCCGACUUUUUGUGGCCUUUCCGAGUUCCCUGCAACAGAAAAGGGGCCCUAUUAUUUUUCUGUCAUCAAAAAACAAGUGAAAAUAGUUUUUGAAAUGGGGUGCCACUAAAUUCUGAAGAGCUAUAGAGAGGGGCCUCGAGUCUGAAAAGGUUGAGAACCGUUGUCCUAAACCCUCCAUUGCUUGCAGAGGUUCUGCUUCAGCUCAAGCAAUAGCAGGUUGGACUUGGGAGGAGGGAAGACCUCAGCUCUUUCCACGGUGUCACUACAAACUUCAUUGUGGCCAGAGUAUACAGCACGGCGACAGUUAAGAUUGGAGUUUUACAGUACAGCUGCAGAUUAAAUGCAUCAUCUUUCCCUUUGAUAUAAGGUGUGACCUGUGCCCAGAUAUAUCUGAACUAGACCCUGCUUUCUAAAUGAUCAGGGUUUGAUGUUCAUGCCAAAUAUAGGAAAAAAGGCCACCAAACUGGCCUAUCCAUUCCUUCCAGGUACAGUGCACACACCAACUGCAGAUGCUUCCUCAGCCUGACGAA